rnacentral:tRNA from 1 species
AAAGGGGGACCUAAUUCAGGUAGGAGACGAAAAAAAAGUAGUCGCUACCAAGAAUCAAUCCCAAAAGGUCGGAGCGAGGCGAAAUUGGCUUUCAAACUAGGUUCUGGGUUCAAACAAGACCUGAAUCAGGAACAAGGGCUAUUAGCUCAGGUGGUUAGAGCGCACCCCUGAUAAGGGUGAGGUCCCUGGUUCGAGUCCAGGAUGGCCCACCUGCACAGGUGGCAAAAACAAGAGAAGCGAGGAAUCAGCACCUUAUCUUACUUAUAUAGUAAGAGAGAAUGCUGGCUCUGAGUAAAGAGUCCAGAGGAACCUUGAAAACUGCAUAGAGCUAGGUGAAAAAGCCAAAAAAGAAGACCGCAAG